CCUCAGGAGUGGGGUACUUCACAUCACCCCACAUACCUCCUAAGUGUCAGUCAACUAUGGUAGGCCCAGUGACACAAAGCCAUGUAAGAGACAGUCCCUGCCUCAGAGCCUCAGAGGAGCCAGGGAGUACAACUGUCUGUGAGCUGAUUUUGAGGGACACCCCCCAGCCUACUUCUAGAGCUAGGGGGAUCUUUGACCCAGGAGGCCUCCCUGGAGGAGGUAACCUUAAAGAAUGGGUAGGAUUUAGGCCUUUGAUGAAAGGAGGACGUUCUGGCCCCCAGGAACAGUGGGUGUCAAGGCAUAGCUGGAGCGAGGGGACAGGGGCUUCCCUGAGCACCAAAACGGAGUGACCGUGGUCUGCCCUGAGCAGGCACCCCGAGCCCUGUCAGGUCUUCUCUGCAGACACUGAGGAUGUCCAGGUCCACGGCUGGGCUGCUGCAGGAGCCUAUAGCCGAGUCUGUUUCUGAGUACGUGGGUCAGGCAGGAGCAGAGGCGAAGUCGGGGAGGCUUUCUUGGUAGUCAAGUCUGUAACUUCUGGGCUCUUCCACACCUCAGCUACAGGGCUCAAGGUGGGUCGGGCAGUUGGUAGGUGGCUGUGAGGGGUAGGUCCCUCAGAGGCAGAGGGAGGUGGCCACACUGACUCUCCCCACUGUCAGAGUCCUGAGCCCCCAGACCUGCUGAACUGACUCCUUGGUUUCCUGUGUCUUGCAGAUCACUGACCCGUCCAGACCAGGGCACCACCUAAGAAGGCACGAAAAGCCUCCAGAACUCCGAGGCCCAGGAGCUGGGCAGGGAUGUGCUCACCCCAGUAAGGAGCAGCCCAGGAGUCCCUGUGAACCUACAGAAGCUCUGUGACACGAUGAGGCUGUGUCCCAGCAAGCCAUGGUCAGUUGAAAACGCAGUCAGUGCACCUGACCUACGGAGCGUCGCGGAACGCGGAGACAUCUGACACAAAGCCUGUACCAUAAAGAAGCACUGACUAUCUCAGGCUCACUCAUCUGACUUUCCAGCACCAGCAGGUCAGAACAACCACCUUCUGGGCCAGGAGCACGGUUGGACAUCUCUAGGAAGUCCCCAGCAGCCAUCGGAGGGGAAAGCAGCUUCAGGGGACAACUUGCUCUGCCUGCCUGCCAGAUCCUUACCACUGUCGUGCAGAACCUGUGAGGGCACUUGGGGCAGGGCAGGCUGCAGCGAGGUCAAGAAGUGGUGCUGACAUGGACCUUCUGCCAGCUGACCUCAGGAGGUGCCUGCAGAAGCCGUGAAGUCCCACCUCAACGCCAAGACUGACCGCCCUUUGGGGUGAGGUAGUAGGUUGUAUAGUUUGGGGCUGUGCCCUGCUCUGGGAUAACUAUACAACCUACUGUCUUUCCUGAAGUGGCUGUAAUAGCUGCGCUGGAUGGAGCGUCUGGAACCCUGGCUGGGGCAGGGGCGGUGGUGGCCUGUUGGAGACAGCUCUGGUGGGAGUGGGGACGGUGGCUGCCAUACAGUAAGGAGCCUAAUGGGCCUGGGCUCCAUCUGCACUGUGACCUCUCUGGGCCUCAGUUUUUUCAUCUGUAAAAUGGCGACCAAUGAGGAUCGAGGAAGAUGGAGUGUGAAGUUUCCAUGGUGGACAGAGCAGGACUCAGAGUUGGCCUUGCCCUCUCUACUUGGGCAGCACUGAGACAGGUUACCUGUGCAGCCCUGCCCCCUGUCCAGCAUCAGUCCCAGACUUGUAGAUGGCCUUGGGCAGGAGUUGGGAAGGAGCCACAGGGCUGGGAACAGUUGAGACUUUUGGAGGUCACAGGGCAGUGAGUGUCAACCUUGCCUAUCAGCUCAGGGACAUCCAUCCCAGAUGGCCAAGGUGUGCCCUGGCCUGCCUCGUGCAGUGUCAGGCCUCUGGCCAGUGUCAGCACCUUGGCCCAGGAAGGGAGAAGAGGCCAAGGCACCUUCUCCAAGUGGGAACCAGGAAAAGCAUCUAUAGGCACACCCAGGGCACGCCAGGGACACAACCCGAAGGGAGGUGAUACGGGGAAACGGGCUUGGAGGCCAGGGGCUCCCCGAAGCCAGUGCACAAAGGCCACCCCUCCUGCCAGGGCACCAUCUCCCCUCUCUUUCUGCCCUGCGCCUGCCCAGCCUUUCUGCUCUGGUGGCUGAGGGUCACCGAGCAGGGGCCGGCGCUGGGCAGGGCUGCGGACCUUCCCACACUGAGGCCGGGCCUAGCGGGGUGAGGUAGUAGGUUGUGUGGUUUCAGGGCAGUGAUGUUGCCCCUCAGAAGAUAACUAUACAACCUACUGCCU